CAUCUCUUUUUGAUAAUGAUUUAAGGUUUAAUCUGCUCAAUGAAAAUUAAAUGGCUGCAGUAAUUUAACUGUACUAAGGUAGCGUAAUAAAUUGUUUUUUAAUUGAAGACUUGAAUGAAUGAUUGGACGAAAAAUUGACUUUAUUUUUUAUAAUAGUUUAAUUUAACUUUAUGGUUAGAAGGCUUUAAUUUUUUUAUGGGACAAGAAGACCCUAUAGAGUUUUAUUUAUUAAUAUAAUUUUUAUAUUAUUUGUUAUUAUUUUAAUUAAUUUAGUUGGGGUUAUUAGAAAAUUUAAUUAAUUUUUCUUUUUAGAUCAUAAAUUUAUGAUUAUAUUAUAUUUUAUUUUAAAAAAAAAUUUAAUUACCUUAGGGAUAACAGCGUAAUUUUUAUUUGAAGUUCUUAUUUAAAUAAAAGAUUGCGACCUCGAUGUUGGAUUAAAAUUUAAUUGUGA
rnacentral:rRNA from 1 species